UACGUAGGGGGCAAGCGUUGUCCGGAAUCAUUGGGCGUAAAGCGCGUGUAGGCGGCCCGGUAAGUCCGCUGUGAAAGUCGGGGGCUCAACCCUCGGAUGCCGGUGGAUACUGUCGGGCUAGAGUGCGGGAGAGGCGAGUGGAAUUCCUGGUGUAGCGGUGAAAUGCGCAGAUAUCAGGAGGAACACCAAUUGCGAAGGCAGCUCGCUGGAACGUUACUGACGCUGAGACGCGAAAGCGUUGGGAGCAAACAGG
rnacentral:rRNA from 1 species